rnacentral:rRNA from 1 species
AAGUCUGGUGCCAGCAGCCGCGGUAAUUCCAGCUCCAAUAGCGUAUAUUUAAGUUGUUGCAGUUAAAAAGCUCGUAGUUGGACCUUGGGAUGGGGCGACCGGUCCGCCUCCGGCGAGCACCGAUCGUCUCGUCCCUUCUGCCGGCGAUGCGCUCCUGGCCUUAAUUGGCCGGGUCGUGCCUCCGGCGCUGUUACUUUGAAGAAAUUAGAGUGCUCAAAGCAGGCCUAAGCUCUGGAUACAUUAGCAUGGGAUAACAUCAUAGGAUUCCGGGUCCUAUUGUGUUGGCCUUUC